rnacentral:rRNA from 1 species
AUUGAACGCUGGCGGCAUGCUUUACACAUGCAAGUCGAACGGUAACAGGCCGCAAGGUGCUGACGAGUGGCGAACGGGUGAGUAAUGCAUCGGAACGUGCCCAGUCGUGGGGGAUAACGCAGCGAAAGCUGCGCUAAUACCGCAUACGAACUAUGGAUGAAAGCGGGGGACCGUAAGGCCUCGCGCGAUUGGAGCGGCCGAUGUCAGAUUAGGUAGUUGGUGAGGUAAAGGCGCACCAAGCCAACGAUCUGUAGCUGGUCUGAGAGGACGACCAGCCACACUGGGGAUGAGACACGGCUCAAACUCCUACGGGAGGCAGCAGUGGGGAAUUUUGGACAUUGGGGGCAAGCCUGAUCCAGCAAUGCCGAGUGCAGGAAGAAGGCCUUGGGGUUGUAAGCUGCUUUUGUACGGAGCGAAACGGUCCGGGUUAAUACCCUGGGCUAAUGACGGUACCGUAAGAAUAAGCACCGGCUAACUACGUGCCAGCCGCCGCCGUAA